GGGCCCAUGCAUUUGUUUCCUGAAAUACUCCAUAGACUCUCUUGAGAAGCUACCAUAGUGAAAAAUAUCAAGAGUAUUCUGCAUCUUGCAGAUCUUGCAAAUCACAAGAUCCUCAGUUCAAAUAUUGCUUGAGUAAAAACAUCCUACACAAGUCUUCUCCCAUCAGUUUCAACCCAUAUCUGAUCUCUAAAUAUUGGUCUUCUGCCUGACUUUCUUUUUGGUGUUGUCUUCUCUGUACCUUUAAAAAAUUUCUAAUACCAUUCAUUUUCUAGGCAUAGAGCCAUACCUGCUUUCCUACAUAUAUGUGUAAUCUUAAAACUCAUCAGGUAAGGCCUGAAAUAACAAUACCAACAGCAAUGGCAAUAAUAACUGUUUACUGAGCCCCUCCUAUGCACCAAACACUGUUCUAAGCAUUUUAUAGUUAUUCUUAAUCUUCACAACAAUCCCAUGAAAUGAGGACAUUUAUCACCUCCAUUUUACAGAUGCAGAAACUGAAGCACAGAGAAGUUCAAAAUUUGCCCAAGAUCAGACAGCCAGUAAGUGUAAGAGCCUCUCCUUCCACAAUAUAACACCCUUUUCUUGUCUGGCCUAGUCUCUCAAUGCUUUGAAAUUGGGUUCUGCUUUUAAAAAGCAAAAAUAAAGAUUUACCACAGUCUAUCACAGCCCAUCCUAUAUUCUGAACAUAAUUAAUUUCUUUUAAUAGGGCUAUGUCUCUGUUAUUCCACAGGGAAAGGUAUUAAAGUUAGAUUCUAUAAUUUUUUAAAGAUAAUCUCUUUUAUGAGUAUCAUUAGACGGCAUGCUUACCAGGUUUUCCCACAUAUACAUUAAACUUAAAUCCUUAGUUCCAAGUUAAUUUUCAUUGCCUAACUGAUAAAAUAUUAUCUGAGCAUGUACUAAAGAAUGAAUUUUUGCAGCUUAGUGAGAUAAGUCAUUCAUACUCUAACAAGGAUAUUUUAAAUAGAGCCGGUUAUUCCUUCAGGAAAACCAUAUUCAGAUCAAACUAAUUUCCUAAACGACAUAAAAGGAGUGAGCAGCUUUGAGGUGUCUUAUGUAACUUACUGAGUGCUGAUAGCUUGGGACUAGAUGAUGGAAUGACAGAGGAAAAGGAAGCUGAAUCUUUGAAAUAGUAAAAAUUAUCAUUUAAAAAUCACAGUAAAUAUCACCUGCCAGGUAUUAAAAUGAUUAAAGGGCUUAUUUUUUCCACACUCCUAUUGUGAUAGCUUUUAUAAACAAAUAAUUUUAAGUACACUAACCUGUUAAGCACCAGUAAUUAGUAGAGAAAAACAAACACAUAUGUUCUUGAGGAGAGAGCAAAGCCUGAGGGAAUUUAGUCCUCUGAAAUUAUGCUAAGGGUAUAUUAAAAUCAUUCUGGAAGACUCCUACCCCAAAUAAAAAUCCCCUUUAAGUUUUUCCCAUGUUUUCUCUCACACAUAACUUCUGUAACAGCUAAUUGACAGAUUAUUUGCUAAUACAGGUGGACCUGGCAAUGGUUAAAACCAUCUCGGAUAUUUUGGGUUUUCACUGGAAGAACUGAGUCUAUAAUAUCUGUAAAGGAAAGGGCACUGGACUGGCAGGCAUUAACUUUGCCACUAAGUAGUUAUGGGAUUUGGUUCUGUCACCUCACUUCUUUGAAUUUUAGUUUCCUAACCUAUCAAAUUCAAAAAUGAGAAUUAAACGCUCUCCAAAGCCUUUUCUAAAAAUCCCAAGUUCUACAAUUUUAAGAUGGCUUUGAACACUUUUUCACAAAGAAGAUUCCAAGAAUUCUAACAUUUAUUCCUGUAAGAUAAACUAAAAAUAUAUAGGAGCCAGUGAUAUAGGGAUAGGAUAAUAUUAUUUAAGAUCUCCCAAUAGAUAUUCCAUUAUUGUUAAACUAGUUUUUCUCUUGCACUUUAUCAGCCAUCCUGGUUCCAAGAAAGGGAGCAGAGCAAGUGAUAUCACAAGAAUGAGGUGGGUAUUGCAGGAGUUCCUGUCGUGGCUCAGCGGCUAGUGAACCCGACUAGCACCUGUGAGGACAAAUGUUCAAUCCCUGGCCUUGCUCAGUGAGUUAAGGAUCCAGUGUUGCCGUGAGCUGUGUUGUAGGUUGCACACAAGGCUCGGAUCCUGAGUUUUCGUGAUUCUGGCGUAGGCCGGCGGCUACUACUCGGAUUGGACCUCUAGCCUGGGAACCUCCGUGUGCCAUGGAUGAGGCUCUAAAAAGACACAAAGACCAAAAAAAAAAAAAAAAAAAGAGGAUAUGGUACAUAAGGAAAGCUCUUGUCAUAUGAGAAGGAGGAAAAUAUAUCUCUUUUAGCCCUAAGAGAUGAUGGAAAGAAAAGGACCCAGAAAGAGGUAAUCAGACCUGGUGUGCUUAAUUCCUAAAAUUGGAGGUAUAUAGUUAAAGUAUUCUCAUGGACAAAGGGAACAAGAAAACAGGAUAGAGGGUUGCUUCCCUGGGCAUACUUCUGAGAAGCUGAGUCCUUUAGGAACUCUCUCAGCUUGAUGGCAUGUUCAACAAUAUAAUGCAGCAUUGGUGGAGGGAGGUGGUGGCUCAAGAUGUGAGCCUGAAGCAAGGCCUCUGGUUCAUCAAGACCUACGUGGGGUGGUCUGGGAAUCUAGAAGUUCCCAUAUAUUUCAGUGACAAGAUAGAAUGGCAUCAUGUGAAUCAAUGGACCUCUAGAGACCUGGGGUCAGUACAGAGAUUGCAGUGUUUAAAGCAAAUGGUUCAGUGUGGACUUCCGUAAAGGAAGUACAACUUUUCAAAAUGACAGAAAUGAGCGAUUUUACCUCUUAGGCUAGUAGUUCUGCUUUCAGACCAUACCGGACACUCCAUACCAAAGGAUAACACAAGGACUGGCAUGCAAGGCUCAGGACCUUUCCCUGAUGCAAUGUCAGCCUUCUCACCUCUCAGGGCUGCUACCAGCCCUCUAGUCACUGCAGAAUUAGAAAAAAGGCACUCCCUUUAUCAAGACACUUAUAUCCACCUGUCAGAAAAUUGUCAUAAUAUACUGACUUUGUUAAAACAAGGCAUCUUACUGCCACAUGCCUGAGAACUGUUGUAAAAAACUUAAAAACAUAGGAUGCCAAAGGUGUGAAAGACACUCUAUCUAUGUAUAUAUACCUUAUACAGCAACCCUCAACUCCCACGCAUAUCUUGGAAUGGGAGGGAGGUGGGGAGAUAAAAUCUGUAAGAUUCAGCAUUUACUUAUUAAAGAGAAAAUGUGGGGACUCAGGAAGGAUAAAAACUAUGGAAAAUAAACAUUUUCUUUGUAUAUCUAAAUUAAUUAAAUCAACCCUGCCAUACCAAAAUACAAACUCUGUAUGCCCAAGAUUUUGCAUUUUAUUUAUCUUUUUUUAUUUUGCUAUCUCUCACAGUACCUUACAUACCAAUGCAUACAAAGAAGGAACCAAUAAAUGCUUGCUGAAAAAAAGUAAAUUUUUAGAAAAAUGAGAAUUAUGGAUCCACUUGUAGUAUGUAACAUAGCAUGUAAUUUUCCUUUUCUUCCUAGAGUUAUUUGAGCCAAAUCUAAAAUUUUAACUAUUUAUACUUGCUAACAACCACAAAAAUCUGCAGUUCAGUUAUUUUCUAAGUCUCUCUCCUCAAAUUUUUUCUUGAGAAGAAAAUUUAGAUCUAAGUUUCUCCAUUUUCAGAGAUCAUUUCAAAAUUACGGAAUUUUUAAAAAUUUAAAACAGGAUUAUGUAAUUCAAAAUAAAUUCUAAUUAAAAGGUGAGGGGACAGAGUUCCCGUCUUGGCUCAGUGGUUAACAAAUCCAACUAGGAACCUUGAGGUUGUGGGUUCAAGCCGUGGCCUCGCUCAGUGGGUUGAGAAUCUGGCAUUGUUGUGAGCUGCGGAUUAGGUCGCAGACGCUGCUCCAAUCCAGAGUCGGAGUGGCUAUGGCUAGGCCAGCAGCUGUAGCUCCGACUGGACCCUAGCCUGGGGACCUCCAUAUGCAGCGGGUGCGGCCCUAGAAAAGACAAAAAUUUUUUAAAUUAAAAAAAAAAAAGAAAGAUGCCUGGAGGCACAUAUCAAAAUCAGAGACUCAAACAUCCUACACGAUACUGCCUCUCCCGGCUCUCUCCUGCCUCCCCAAAUCCACACUCUCCCCAGUCACCUUUACUUCCCUUAUGUACUUUGUAACACAGUCAUCUAUCUCAAACCUAAGACAGCAACUGAUCAAACUCAAAUGAAAAAAUCACCCAAAGGCCUGAAAAGAAGGGAAUCAGGUAAACUGCCAGUUUUACCAUAGCCAGUCAAUGAUAAACAAAAGAGAAAGAAGAGAAUUGAGAAAGGGUAUCUUUUUAGUCUUUACAACAGCAGCAAGGGAAUAAAAACGCAUUUUCCUUGGGGAGAGAUUAUGCUGAGGGGACCAGAUACAGACACAAAAGAUAAUUCCCCCUGGGUUUUUUUCUUUUGCUUUGCGUUUGUGAGAUCUACACACAUACACACACAAUUACAACCUCAACACUUUUACUUCUCUCUUCUUCUCACAUAUUAUUUUCCCAAAUAUUAUAUUGACCACACUGCCCAAAAGUAAAUUUACCUUUUUGGUAAUACCUUACCUAUUACGUAUUGACCACACCUUUUCAAGAUCUUGAUGACUCCUAUUAUACUACGACUGGGAACCGACUCCAAACUUCGGUUACCAAGCUUAAAGAUCGGUAAAGUGGAUCUCCAAGGUUCUCAAAUACCCUCAGCUUGACUAAAGGGCACAGAAUCUCUAGCGCUCCCUACAGCUCAGACUUUGAACCUACCUACCACAAGAAGCCUAAAUUAUCAAAGAUUGGCUACCUUGCUCCACUUUUUUUUUUUUUUCCGCUUAAAAAAUCGGGUGAAGGAAAGGGGGGAUAGGCUGAAACAGCGAACCGAAGGAUUAAUCACUUCUCCCCAUUACAUCAGCAGCCCC
rnacentral:lncRNA from 1 species